UGUGAAUUCAAUUCUCAUAUACCCUUCCCUAGUGUAAUCCUGCCCAAAUGUAACAGGAGUAAGUUUUUCUGAUGAAAUAAAAAUGGUUAUGGAAUUCAUCAAAGGGGAGUCAACGUCUUUUUCUUACUCCAUGUAUAACUGAAAUAUGCGUGGUCCACUUUAAAAACUGUUAAAAUGCCUUCAUUGCAUGAUAUCCAACCGUUAUUCAUUCACAUUAUCUCCCUCACUUUGCUUUCCUCCAAACGUCACCUAAAACCAAAUUAACAACCCCCCUCCCCCCCCCCUCCCAAAAAAAAAUAAAAAAUAAAUCUCCUUACUUUCUUUUUAUCUGUAAAAAAUACAAGGAUUACAGCAAUUAUUUUGGUAGUACCACUACUAUAAAAGCAGCCUCUUGUUUUAUAUUCAGUGCUUACAAACAUCACUCAAAUUCCUUUUUAGCCUUUGUCACCCUUGUAUGAUUUUUGCUCUACUUUCUUGGGUGCUAUUAAUUAAUCGAGAAGGAAAUGAUGGGGUUUGAGAGAUUAAUGGUGAAUUUGAAGACGAAAUUGAGGAGGUCCCUGAAAAUGAAGGAAUCAUACGACAAGAUUGAGAAAAGUGAAAGCAUGAGAGUGGAGAUUAGGAGCAAGAAGGCUCGUAAGCUUAUUGAACAGACUCUUAAAAUUGCUGAUUCCCCCAAAUCCAGAAGCUAUCCUUUCUAGUAAUAUGUUUAGAACCUUGUAAUGAAUGACAAGUUUCGUCCCAACUUUGAUAAGAAAAUCAAAUUAUAUGCAGAAGUUUAGUGGAA